UCCCCAGUAGCUCAGUUGGUAGAGCAAUCGGCUGUUAACCGAUCGGUCGCAGGUUCGAGUCCUGCCUGUGGAG
rnacentral:tRNA from 1 species